rnacentral:rRNA from 1 species
UACGUAGGGUGCAAGCGUUAAUCGGAAUUACUGGGCGUAAAGCGUGCGCAGGCGGUCUGUUAAGACCGAUGUGAAUCCCGGGCCUUAACCUGGGAACUGCAUUGGUGACUGGCAGGCUUUGAGUGUGGCAGAGGGAGGUAGAAUUCCACGUGUAGCAGUGAAAUGCGUAGAGAUGUGGAGGAAUACCGAUGGCGAAGGCAGCCUCCUGGGCCAACACUGACGCUCAUGCACGAAAGCGUGGGGAGCAAACAG